GACGAACCGUGCAAACGUUGUUCGGAAUCACUGGGCUUAAAGGGCGCGUAGGCGGGCCAGCCAGUCUGUGGUGAAAGCCUCCAGCUUAACUGGAGAAGUGCCGUGGAUACUGCUGGCCUCGAGGAGGGUAGGGGCAUCUGGAACGGUCGGUGGAGCGGUGAAAUGCGUUGAUACCGACCGGAACUCCGGUGGCGAAGGCGAGGUGCUGGGCCCUUUCUGACGCUGAGUGCGCGAAAGCCAGGGGAGCAAACGGG
rnacentral:rRNA from 1 species